rnacentral:rRNA from 1 species
UACAGAGGGUGCGAGCGUUAAUCGGAAUUACUGGGCGUAAAGCGCACGUAGGCGGCGACGUAAGUCGGGUGUGAAAUCCCACGGCUCAACCGUGGAAGUGCACUCGAAACUGCGCAGCUAGAGUCUCGGAGAGGAAGGCGGAAUGCUUGGUGUAGAGGUGAAAUUCGUAGAUAUCAAGCGGAACACCGGUGGCGAAGGCGGCCUUCUGGACGAUGACUGACGCUGAAGUGCGAAAGCGUGGGGAGCAAACAGG